CAUGACCCACCUCAUCCUCAAAAGUGUCAUGACGCUGCUCUGGUAUUGGGUUUGGUAUGUCGUCAUGAUCGUCAUGCUCGUCUGAUUGCCUUGUAACCGACGGCAUCGCGUUGAUUGAGGGUUGGUGCUGUAUAAAGUAUCAUUUAAAAUUAGUAAAUGAAAAGUCAAAAAUUUCGAUUAACAAAUUUUUAGUACUUAGAGUAUACCGACCUUAUGAACCCAGUCUGGAAUGCUUGGCAAGUAAUCCUUCACAGAGAGCCAAUAUUUUCUGCUACUCUCCUUUGAAUUUGGCUCAAGAGUUUGUAAAACGUCCCCCUGCCAUAAAUUCAAUUGAAAAAUUUAAGUAAGUAUACAUUUCUUAAAUUUAGUAAAGUUAAAAAAAUAAGUAAUACAUAUUACUUACAAGACGAGAUUCGUCGUUGAAGAACGAAUAAACCUCCGCAAAGUUGAUUCUCGAAGACGCCAUGGGCUUCCA
rnacentral:lncRNA from 1 species